rnacentral:rRNA from 1 species
AUAGCGAAGAGGUCACACCCGUUCCCAUACCGAACACGGAAGUUAAGCUCUUCAGCGCCGAUGGUAGUUGGGACUUUGUCCCUGUGAGAGUAGGACGUCGCUAGGC